UACGAAGGGGGCUAGCGUUGCUCGGAAUUACUGGGCGUAAAGCGCACGUAGGCGGCUCUUUAAGUCGGGGGUGAAAUCCUGGAGCUCAACUCCAGAACUGCCUUCGAUACUGAAGAGCUUGAGUCCGGGAGAGGUGAGUGGAACUGCGAGUGUAGAGGUGAAAUUCGUAGAUAUUCGCAAGAACACCAGUGGCGAAGGCGGCUCACUGGCCCGGGUACUGACGCUGAGGUGCGAAAGCGUGGGGAGCAAACAGG
rnacentral:rRNA from 1 species